rnacentral:rRNA from 1 species
AGAGUUUGAUCCUGGCUCAGGACGAACGCUGGCGGCGUGCUUAACACAUGCAAGUCGAGCGGUAAGGCUCCUUCGGGAGUACACGAGCGGCGAACGGGUGAGUAACACGUGAGCAAUCUGCCCUUCACAUCGGGAUAACUUCGGGAAACCGAAGCUAAUACCGGAUACGACCAUCGAUGGCAUCUUCUGAUGGUGGAAAGUUCCGGCGGUGAAGGAUGAGCUCGCGGCCUAUCAGCUUGUUGGUGGGGUAAUGGCCUACCAAGGCAACGACGGGUAGCCGGCCUGAGAGGGUGACCGGCCACACUGGGACUGAGACACGGCCCAGACUCCUACGGGAGGCAGCAGUGGGGAAUAUUGGACAAUGGGCGAAAGCCUGAUCCAGCAACGCCGCGUGAGGGAUGACGGCCUUCGGGUUGUAAACCUCUUUCAGCAGGGACGAAGCGCAAGUGACGGUACCUGCAGAAGAAGCACCGGCCAACUACGUGCCAGCAGCCGCGGUAAUACGUAGGGUGCAAGCGUUGUCCGGAAUUAUUGGGCGUAAAGAGCUCGUAGGCGGUCCAUCGCGUCGGGAGUGAAAAGCUGGGGCUCAACCCCAGUCCUGCUUCCGAUACGGGUGGACUAGAGGUAGGUAGGGGAGAUCGGAAUUCCUAGUGUAGCGGUGAAAUGCGCAGAUAUUAGGAGGAACACCGGUGGCGAAGGCGGAUCUCUGGGCCUUACCUGACGCUGAGGAGCGAAAGCAUGGGGAGCAAACAGGAUUAGAUACCCUGGUAGUCCAUGCCGUAAACGUUGGGCGCUAGGUGUGAGGGACAUUCCACGUCCUUCGUGCCGCAGCUAACGCAUUAAGCGCCCCGC